rnacentral:rRNA from 1 species
GACGAACGCUGGCGGCGUGCUUAACACAUGCAAGUCGAACGGAAAGGCCCUGCUUUUGUGGGGUGCUCGAGUGGCGAACGGGUGAGUAACACGUGAGCAACCUGCCCUUGACUUUGGGAUAACUUCAGGAAACUGGGGCUAAUACCGGAUAGGAGCUCCUGCUGCAUGGUGGGGGUUGGAAAGUUUCGGCGGUUGGGGAUGGACUCGCGGCUUAUCAGCUUGUUGGUGGGGUAGUGGCUUACCAAGGCUUUGACGGGUAGCCGGCCUGAGAGGGUGACCGGCCACAUUGGGACUGAGAUACGGACCAGACUCCUACGGGAGGCAGCAGUGGGGAAUAUUGCACAAUGGGCGGAAGCCUGAUGCAGCAACGCCGCGUGCGGGAUGACGGCCUUCGGGUUGUAAACCGCUUUCGCCUGUGACGAAGCGUGAGUGACGGUAAUGGGUAAAGAAGCACCGGCUAACUACGUG